rnacentral:rRNA from 1 species
AACCAGAAAGCCACGGCUAACUACGUGCCAGCAGCCGCGGUAAUACGUAGGUGGCAAGCGUUAUCCGGAUUUAUUGGGCGUAAAGCGAGCGCAGGCGGUCUUUUAAGUCUAAUGUGAAAGCCUUCGGCUUAACCGAAGAAGUGCAUUGGAAACUGGAAGACUUGAGUGCAGAAGAGGACAGUGGAACUCCAUGUGUAGCGGUGAAAUGCGUAGAUAUAUGGAAGAACACCAGUGGCGAAGGCGGCUGUCUGGUCUGUAACUGACGCUGAGGCUCGAAAGCAUGGGUAGCGAACAGGAUUAGAUACCCUGGUAGUCCAUGCCGUAAACGAUGAAUGCUAAGUGUUGGAGGGUUUCCGCCCUUCAGUGCUGCAGCUAACGCAUUAAGCAUUCCGCCUGGGGAGUACGACCGCAAGGUUGAAACUCAAAAGAAUUGACGGGGGCCCGCACAAGCGGUGGAGCAUGUGGUUUAAUUCGAAGCUACGCGAAGAACCUUACCAGGUCUUGACAUCUUCUGCCAAUCUAAGAGAUUAGACGUUCCCUUCGGGGACAGAAUGACAGGUGGUGCAUGGUUGUCGUCAGCUCGUGUCGUGAGAUGUUGGGUUAAGUCCCGCAACGAGCGCAACCCUUAUUAUUAGUUGCCAGCAUUAAGUUGGGCACUCUAGUGAGACUGCCGGUGACAAACCGGAGGAAGGUGGGGACGACGUCAAAUCAUCAUGCCCCUUAUGACCUGGGCUACACACGUGCUACAAUGGACGGUACAACGAGUUGCGAGACCGCGAGGUUUAGCUAAUCUCUUAAAACCGUUCUCAGUUCGGACUGCAGGCUGCAACUCGCCUGCACGAAGUUGGAAUCGCUAGUAAUCGCGGAUCAGCAUGCCGCGGUGAAUACGUUCCCGGGCCUUGUACACACCGCCCGUCACACCAUGAGAGUUUGUAACACCCAAAGCCGGUGGAGUAACCUUCNGGAGCUAGCCGU